rfam:Otolemur garnettii contig025441, whole genome shotgun sequence.
CUUAAGGCCCUUCAAGGGGCCACAAUACAUAAAGAAAAAUACAGUAU